GGGGAAUAUUGCACAAUGGGCGAAAGCCUGAUGCAGCGACGCCGCGUGAGGGAUGAAGGCCUUCGGGUUGUAAACCUCUUUCAGCAGGGAAGAAGCGAAAGUGACGGUACCUGCAGAAGAAGCACCGGCUAACUACGUGCCAGCAGCCGCGGUAAUACGUAGGGUGCGAGCGUUGUCCGGAAUUAUUGGGCGUAAAGAGCUUGUAGGCGGUUUGUCGCGUCUGCUGUGAAAAUCCGGGGCUCAACCCCGGACUUGCAGUGGGUACGGGCAGACUAGAGUGUGGUAGGGGAGACUGGAAUUCCUGGUGUAGCGGUGGAAUGCGCAGAUAUCAGGAGGAACACCAAUGGCGAAGGCAGGUCUCUGGGCCACCACUGACGCUGAGAAGCGAAAGCGUGGGGAGCGAAC
rnacentral:rRNA from 1 species